UUCUCUCAUGGGCCAUUGGUCACUCACAUUUGACUUAGAAUAAAUAUCUUCAAAUGUUUUACAGAGUCUGACUGUUUUUAUUGACAGCAUGAUGCUAGCAUAUGUGUUUCAUUUUUAAUUUGAAACAAUAGAUAUCUAGUGAUCUUUUCUGGACUGCUUUUGAGUAGGAAGAAGAAGAAGAGCAAACUCAUUCAGAAGCCUGGAUACUACACUUGAAUUAUUUAACAGGGUCUAUCACUUAGAGUGGGGUUUGAAGGCUGUGUUGAGAAAUAAGCAUAAAGAUCUUUGGCAAGUUCACUAGAGAAUAGAUUUCCCUUCUAGGCAGUGAUAAUCAUAUCCCCACCCAUUUUUCAUGGAACGGUGAGAAGUUGCCACAUCUUGAGUUUCCCAAGAGAAAGCAGCACCACUUACUUUUCUUUGUUUUUGUUUCCUCUUUCAGUCCCAGCAGAAGUGCAUCGUGAUCUUUGCCCUGGUGUGCUGCUUUGCCAUUCUGGUUGCACUGAUCUUUUCAGCCGUGGACAUCAUGGGAGAGGAUGAGGAUGGACUCUCAGAAAAAAAUUGCCAAAAUAAAUGUUGAAUUGCCCUGGUGGAAAAUAUUCCUGAAGGCCUUAAGUAUUCAGAAAAUGCACCAUUUCACUUAUCACUUUUCCAAGGCUGGAUGAAUUUACUCAACAUGGCCAAAAAGUCUGUUGACAUAGUGUCUUCCCAUUGGGAUCUCAACCAUACUCAUCCAUCAGCAUGUCAGGGUCAACGUCUUUUUGAAAAGUUGCUCCAACUGACUUCGCAAAAUAUUGAAAUCAAGCUAGUGAGUGAUGUAACAGCUGAUUCAAAGGUAUUAGAAGCCUUGAAAUUAAAGGGUAAGACCAAGGUUGAUAUGCUAUUCUACCACUGGGUGUU
rnacentral:lncRNA from 1 species